GUGCUUGCUUUGGCAGCACAUAUACUAAAACUGGAAUGAUACAGAGAAGAUGAAGUAUGACCCCCUGCUCAAGGAUGACACACAGAUUCGUGACGUGUUCCAUGUUUUU
ensembl:snRNA U6 U6 spliceosomal RNA